UCUCCUGUAGCUCAGUGGUAGGGCGUCUGACCAGUGUGCAGAACGUCACGGGAUCGACUCCUGUUGGGAGUA